rnacentral:rRNA from 1 species
GACGAACGCUGGCGGCGUGCUUAACACAUGCAAGUCGAGCGGUAAGGCCCUUUCGGGGGUACACGAGCGGCGAACGGGUGAGUAACACGUGGGUGACCUGCCCUCAGCUCUGGGAUAAGCCUGGGAAACCGGGUCUAAUACCGGAUAUGACUCCAUGACGCAUGUUGUGGGGUGGAAAGCCUUGUGCGGCUGAGGAUGGGCCCGCGUCCUAUCAGCUUGUUGGUGGGGUGAUGGCCUACCAAGGCGACGACGGGUAGCCGGCCUGAGAGGGCGACCGGCCACACUGGGACUGAGACACGGCCCAGACUCCUACGGGAGGCAGCAGUGGGGAAUCUUGCGCAAUGGGCGAAAGCCUGACGCAGCGACGCCGCGUGAGGGAUGACGGCCU